GGUGAUUGGGUAUUCCCAACUUUAUUUAUUUAUUCUCAUCCUGCUCUGCACACGGCAAUGGUUGGAAAUAUGUUCACGAUCCCUUCUUCGUCUUUUUAAGAAGUUUCUCUCCCUCGCUCUUUGAGCCCAGGAGACCGAGCAGCACAGCAGUCGGAAACACCACUGUCCAUUGUCGAUGGCACCACCAGGUAUUCUCUCUCCCUCUCGCGUUCUUAUUGCGUCGGUUCGAGCUCCAUAGCCGCCUGCGCCUUUGGCAACGGCCUCUCUCUCUCUCUUUGAGGUAUAUAGUCUCUUCUCUCUUCCUAACAGUGGUGAUGUUUAUUUAUUUAUUCUCAUCUGCCCUUUGUGUUUUUGUUUUGUACGGAAGCGGGGGGGGGAAAAAUAAAAAUGAGCCUUCAUAGAUACAUGACAAGGCAAUGGCUACGCACCACCUACCGGUGCUCAAAAGAACCAAGACCAUUGUUAAGUCUCGCGGUUUUUAAAUCUGUUCUACAUAGGGAAGGGGUGUUGAAUGAACAUAUAACUUGCUCCAGUGGAAUUCCUCUUCGUCUCUACGGAGAAGAAGGUGCAAACUGCAUGGAGCAGUACCAUGCUUUCUACAUACUUGGGGUAGAGAAACAUGGAUUCUUGGGGUUUAGGCUCAUAUACACCACUUAGGCAUUCACUUACUGCCCUUUUGGCAAACGGAACGGUAUGUAAUUCUUUUAUGAAUAUGACCCAAAAAUUAAAACACCAUAAAAUGUGUUUUGUGAGUUUAUCUUAAUUUUUAAGGUAUAUUGAUGGAACACUUGAAAAAACUGUUUCAUUUACCACGGGCCGUUAUGGAGCUCAUGUGAACGUCUAAAGUCCAUGGCCGACCCUUGUGGAGGGACAGCAAAGUAGCCCCAUUUUUCUAGCAGGGGCCUUAUGUUUCUUUUUUGGUAUGUCAAUGAAAUAUGUGUGUUUCUAGUCUCAGUAGUUUUUCUUUUCGAUUUAUCAAGCUUUCCACUCGUCAGUGUGUGACAUAAUUAAAUCAAAAGCAAAAUUUAAAUCACUCAAAAAAGCUAAAUCUCAACUACUUGAUCCUUGUUUGGCUUUUAUUUCUUGGCAUUUCCACCAGGUGGUAUAUAAAAGAAAUCAACGUCAGUGUCUGGUAUGACCUUUUUAGUUAGUAAAUAGAAACUUUUGCUGCAAUUUGCUUUUUCCACCAGUUCUUCAUGUUCAACGCAAAACUUGGUAGUGUAUUUUUUCACUUGAAGCUCGUAGCAGCAUCAGAUAAUCAUGUUCAACAGAGAUCAUCAGGUUCUGCAGGCUGCAGCUUGUAGCAGACUACCAAUCAUUUUGUUCAAGCUCUAUCACAUCUAUUCAGAACAUACCUUUUCUUGUGCAGAAUGCUCCACUGCUUGAAUUGCAAGAAUAAGAAAAAAGAAUUGUUGGUUGUAAAUGAUGUUGUUGUAUGUUUGGUUUACAACUAAUUAUCAACUUGAUGAUACAAAAUUGCCUUUCCCUAGACAUGGAAACUAUUUACAACUAAUUAUCGGCUUGAUGAUACUGAUUAAUUGCCUCUCUGCAGACAUGGAAACUAUGGAAUAGAACAAGUUUUUGGAUUUUCUUGAUCCAGCAUCUGUAACUCCAUGUGACUUAGAUAAGGUGCAGAUGUAUGUCAGUAUUGGUCUACCUUAGAUUCAAGAAGGUGCAGCAGAGAGUGCAACCAUGUUACCCAUUGUUCUUAGCUGACCAGUGAUUUUGAGGGACGGUAGCUGACACUACGAAAGCUCUCCUCAUCAGUGUUUUGCUUUUGAACACCAAUUUUUACAUGAUGAAAAAACCAUCUUUGUAAACGUGACUUCACCUUCAUGUUAUGAAAUUUACCAUGGUCAUGUUGUCUUUCUACAAGAGACUUGACCUUCAUGUUGGUACAGUUGCGACAGGUUUAUGGUUAUGUUGAUUUCAAAGCGAUAGUUGAUACGCAAACACCAGUUUUUGCAUGAUGAGAAAGCCAUCUUUGUAAGCAGGAUGUUACUUGGUGCUACUGGAACACUUGGCAGGCUUGAAAUCAGAAGAUUUGAGAAUGUAGUAUCGUAGAAGCCAUUAUUCCUGACAUUGCUUUCACAUUUAUUUGUAUCACAACUUUCAGUACUUCUUAAUGGCAGCUGUGAGGUUUAAUGCUCCCAUGGAAGGCAUUAGGACAAGCCUUUCUUCAAUGUAAUCUGGAUGAAAUCUGUAACUUUUUAAGCUCUAGCUGCAGUUAUAACUUAUUAUAAACUGUUCCUUG